GUGGAUAUUACAUUGUAUUACAUUAUUUUAAACACCGUAUGCCAUUUACAGUCAUGUGGGAAAUGUAUAUUGUCCAUGUCGGGGUUGGAGUGGAGUUGACCCUACAUGCUUAACUGAACAUAAAGAAUAAAAAAAAAUAAAAAAUAAAAAAGCAGCCAAUAUAACCCAGUGACAGGCCGUUGGGUGCUAGGAACUGGGAACCAUGCU